CCGACCUUAGCUCAGUUGGUAGAGCGGAGGACUGUAGUGAGAUUACUCUAAGAAAUCCUUAGGUCGCUGGUUCGAAUCCGGCAGGUCGGA
rfam:Gossypium raimondii Chr06_contig_819, whole genome shotgun sequence.